rnacentral:rRNA from 1 species
CCUACGGGCGGCUGCAGUGGGGAAUAUUGGACAAUGGGGGGAACCCUGAUCCAGCCAUGCCGCGUGUGUGAAGAAGGCCCUCGGGUUGUAAAGCACUUUCAGUGAGGAAGAACGCCUGGUGGUUAAUACCCAUCAGGAAAGACAUCACUCACAGAAGAAGCACCGGCUAACUCCGUGCCAGCAGCCGCGGUAAUACGGAGGGUGCGAGCGUUAAUCGGAAUUACUGGGCGUAACGCGCGCGUAGGUGGCUUGAUAAGCCGGUUGUGAAAGCCCCGGGCUCAACCUGGGAACGGCAUCCGGAACUGUCAAGCUAGAGUGCAGGAGAGGAAGGUAGAAUUCCCGGUGUAGCGGUGAAAUGCGUAGAGAUCGGGAGGAAUACCAGUGGCGAAGGCGGCCUUCUGGACUGACACCGACACUGAGGUGCGAAAGCGUGGGUAGCAAACAGGAUUAGAUACCCGAGUAGUC